UGCAGAAGAGCUGGGAAUGAGGGAAAACUGCACCUCAUUCUUCCAAAAGAUUCACAGCAGGACACACAUUCUGGUACACCUUUUUUGACAGCUGGGUUGGUGAGACGCAAGUGGACAGAUGAUGAGGUGAAGGCUGUUGAAUGGCACAUGUUGCAAUUCAUAACAAGCUGCAAAGUACCAGGUAAAAAGGACUGUGAAGCCUGCCUCCCGGCAGAGCAAGUAGCUCUAAAAGAUAGAGACUGGGCUGGAAUCAAAUACUACAUUCAUAACAGAAUCAUAAUAUUUAAAAGGAGGAUGAAUAAAUAGAACUAUAAAAUCCUAAAGUUUACCCAAAAAAAGAUUUUU